ACGAAUUAAUCGAGGUUGUGCUGGUUCUUACAAGUGCACACCUCUUACAAUUCCAUUCACACCCUUGUGCACUCUAAGAGACGUAUCUCCCCCGUUUACGUGCCUUUAUUGGCUUGGGAUUUCGUCUGUUUAACACACUCUUAUUGUAAUAGAAUGUAAUUCGGCGGAAACGCCUAAACUUAUAAAA
rnacentral:misc_RNA from 1 species